AGUCUAAAGAUCACAUCUCUGCUGCAGAGAGAGGUCAGAGGUCACAGUCUGCAGGGUCCAGCUGUCCGUCUGUGAGGAGUGAUUGGUCCAAAGGUGACCCUCCAGACUUCAGUGCUGAACCUGGACCAGCAAGGUCAGAGAGCUGUGAUGACUCCUUUACAUGUUUGUGUUUUCCUGGAUAAAUAUGACCUGAAACAUCCUCAGAUUGUUACAAAGAUUCAUUAAAAAGAAAACAAUGAAAGAGAAAA